rnacentral:rRNA from 1 species
CCUACGGGGGGCAGCAGUGAGGAAUAUUGGUCAAUGGACGCAAGUCUGAACCAGCCAUGCCGCGUGCAGGAAGACGGCUCUAUGAGUUGUAAACUGCUUUUGUACGAGGGUAAAUCCCGAUACGUGUAUCGGGUUGAAAGUAUCGUACGAAUAAGGAUCGGCUAACUCCGUGCCAGCAGCCGCGGUAAUACGGAGGAUUCAAGCGUUAUCCGGAUUUAUUGGGUUUAAAGGGUGCGUAGGCGGUUCGAUAAGUUAGAGGUGAAAUCCCGGGGCUCAACCGCGGAAUUGCAUCUGAUACUGGCAGGCUAGAGUUUAGUUGCGGUAGGCGGAAUGUAUGGUGUAGCGGUGAAAUGCAUAGAGAUCAUACAGAACACCGAUUGCGAAGGCAGCUUACCAAACUACGACUGACGUUGAGGCACGAAAGCGUGGGUAGCAAACAGGAUUAGAUACCCCUGUAGUC